rnacentral:rRNA from 1 species
CCUACGGGAGGCAGCAGUGGGGAAUAUUGGACAAUGGGGGAAACCCUGAUCCAGCAAUACCAUGUGUGUGAAGAAGGCUUUAGAGUUGUAAAGCACUUUAGUUGAGGAAGAAGUUUUAUUAAUUAAUACCUAAUUUGAUUGACGGUACUCAAAGAAUAAGCACCGGCUAACUCCGUGCCAGCAGCCGCGGUAAUACGGAGGGUGCAAGCGUUAAUCGGAAUUACUGGGCGUAAAGAGUUCGUAGGCGGUGAAAUAAGUCAGAUGUGAAAGCCUUAAGCUUAACUUAAGAAGUGCAUUUGAUACUGUUUUACUAGAGUUUAGUAGAGGAUUGAGGAAUUUUCGGUGUAGCGGUGAAAUGCAUAGAUAUCGGAAGGAAUAUCAAUGGCGAAGGCAACAAUCUGGGUUUAAACUGACGCUGAGGAACGAAAGCAUGGGGAGCAAACAGGAUUAGAUACCCGAGUAGUC